AUUGAACGCUGGCGGCAGGCCUAACACAUGCAAGUCGAACGAGUGGCGGACGGGUGAGUAAUGUAUGGGAAACUGCCCGAUGGAGGGGGAUAACUACUGGAAACGGUAGCUAAUACCGCAUACCAUCGGAUGAACCCAGAUGGGAUUAGCUAGUAGGUGGGGUAACGGCUCACCUAGGCGACGAUCCCUAGCUGGUCUGAGAGGAUGAACAGCCACACUGGAACUGAGACACGGCCCAGACUCCUACGGGAGGCAGCAGUGGGGAAUAUUGCACAAUGGGCGCAAGACUGAUGCAGCCAUGCCGCGUGUAUGAAGAAGGCCUUAGGGUUGUAAAGUACUUUCAGCGGGGAGGCGUUACUCGCAGAAGAAGCACCGGCUAACUCCGUGCCAGCAGCCGCGGUAAUAC
rnacentral:rRNA from 1 species